rnacentral:rRNA from 1 species
GACGAACGCUGGCGGCGUGCUUAACACAUGCAAGUCGAACGGAGAUUCAGCAAUGGAUCUUAGUGGCGAACGGGUGAGUAACGCGUAGGCAAUCUGCCUUCUAGAUGGGGACAACAUCCCGAAAGGGGUGCUAAUACCGAAUGUUGUACCGUUUCCGCAUGGAGAUGAUACUAAAGGUGGCCUCUGAAUAUGCUACCGCUAGAAGAUGAGCCUGCGUCUGAUUAGCUAGUUGGAGGGGUAACGGCCCACCAAGGCAACGAUCAGUAGCCGGUCUGAGAGGAUGAACGGCCACACUGGGACUGAGACACGGCCCAGACUCCUACGGGAGGUAGCAGUGGGGAAUCUUCCGCAAUGGACGAAAGUCUGACGGAGCAACGCCGCGUGAGUGAAGAAGGUUUUCGGAUCGUAAAGCUCUUUCGUUAGGGACGAACGUGCUCUUUGUGAAUAAUGAGGAGUAAUGACGGCACCUGAAUAAGAAGCCACGGUUAACUACGUGCCAGCAGCCGCAGUAA